UGCAGAAGGAGAAUAACCUCCUUCAUCCUGCUGCUGGCCAAACUCCUUUUAAUCAGUCCCAGGAUAGCAUUGUUCCGCACCUUGUCUAAUUUCCUCACCUGAGGCUACAUCUUCUCCUAUUUACUUGACAGAACCAGAGGAGAUCAUGCAAUUGAUACAACAAGUUGUCCAACAUUUGCAGUGCUGAGCAACACCACUAAUGAUCAUUAAAUGCUUUCCUUCUCACAAGAAAAGCAGGUGAAAAAAAAACACCAAAAACCCACACAUUAUUUUUCCUUUCUUCAUCAACUUUUGUCCAAUACAAUGAUUUACCCAUCCUGUUGGGCUCAGUGUUAAAUAUCAGCGGCUUCAAUAGGUGUCAGUGGGAGAACAGUCUCUGACUCAGUGCUGCAUAGUCUGUAUGUCCAUCCCUCUUAUCUCAGCCAAGCAGCUGGGCCACAAAUCAGGAGUGAAGCCAGGCAAGGGGACCUGUGACAGAGCUGUGAGGGAGGACAGGGAGCUGGCAGUGCUCAGGCCCCGGCAAUAGGGAGCUAUGGCAGACAUCAGACCCCUGAUACGGCGUCAUUGGGUGGGAAGGGGCAGCACCAGCACCAAUGGAGGACAUUCCUCCCCACAGUGCAGGCAGCACCCUGGCUUGGCAUGGAACACCUGGGAGGUAAGUGUGGGGCUUGGGAUGGCAGCAAGCAAUUUGGAUGGGAAGCUGAGAGCUUCUCAAUGCUCUUGCUAUCUGAGACAGAGCUAUGUGCUCAUAACUGUGGCUCACUCCACUUUAAGCAGUGUGGGCUUUGUUUUUCUUUGGUUUGGGAAGGGCGCAUAAGGGGGGCUGGACUACUGAGAUCUGUCUGCACUCCAGGAAUAGGCAUGAACAGUGGCUGUUGGUUCACACACCAUCCUCAUGGAUUCCUUUGGGGCACGUUUGCACUGAAACUUUGCAUAGUUCUUCCCUAAUACUUUUAGGCCUGCGCCUUCAGCCCAGCUUAUAAUUAUUUUUCUUCAAGAGGACUGCUGAAAAAUGAGGUGAUAUUAACUUGGGACUCAAUCUGGACGUUUCCUGUCAGACUAAAUGAACGCUGGAAGUGGCUCUGAAUCAAAGGUUGCUUUGACUUUCUGCGGUUGUGUGAGGCCUUCUGCAUUUCUCUUUGGGGAACACGCUCAUGAGGCUCUAUAGCUCAUAUGAGUAUUUGCUGUAGCCAGUCCCUGGCUCCUUUCUCUGCUCACAUUUCCUGUUUUGCAGCUGCUGGCUGUGCUGGCGGCCAGCCUGCUGCUGCUCAGCAUCCCACUGUGCUACCAGGCCUUUCAUUUCCAUGUGGCGCAGGCCUACGCACACCUUGGAUACCCCCAUGCCCAGCACAUUGUGGGACAGAGGUAUCUGCAAGGUGCUGGAGUGGAAAAAAAUGAGGAGCUGGCCAUGCACUGGUUCAGGCAGGCAGCAGGUCAGGGCCACCCGCACUCCUCCUUCAACCUGGCACUGGGAGCUCUGAGCAACAUGACAGCGGCACUGGAGGAAAGGGAAGUGGAGAAACUCCUUGGUGUGGCUGCAGCCCAUGGGCUCCGAGAAGCUCAGGAACUUUUGGAGAACAUUCAGAAGAGCAGAAAGAUGCCAUGAACACCUGCACCAGCUUUGCCGCCUUCUGCACCUUUAUUGAAAGCUAAUUAUGAGCUGGAUAUCACACCUCAUAGCAACUCAUCUGCUGAUAUUAAGUUAGAUCCAGAUGCUGACCUGGGCUUGAUGCUGUGGUUGUAUUGUGUCUAUUUCUUGCUCUGCUUAUUUGUUGCAACAGAUGGUCAUGACUGAAGCUUUGUUGUCAUUAGUCAGCAUGAUGUGUGUGAGUGAUGUCAUCUGUAACGUAAGUAACAGUGGUUUAAGAAAAGUAUUAUGGUUAAGAUAAAUAAAAUCAUCACGUAACAGCUGUCA